rnacentral:rRNA from 1 species
GACGAACGCUGGCGGCGUGGAUUAGGCAUGCAAGUCGGACGGUAGGGCUUUAUCGUAAGAUAGAGUUUGAGAGUGGCGAACGGGUGAGUAACACGUAGGAAUCUACCCUUAAGACGGGGACAACCCAGGGAAACUUGGGCUAAUACCGGAUGAGAGUGCGAGAGAUUGCAUUUAAAAGGAUGGCGAAAGUUGUCGCUUAGGGAUGAGCCUGCGGUCUAUUAGUUAGUUGGUGAGGUAAGAGCUCACCAAGGCGAUGAUAGAUAGGCGGCCUUAACGGGUGGUCGCCCACACUGGGAUUGAGAUACGGCCCAGACUCCUACGGGAGGCAGCAGUCGAGAAUAGUCUACAAUGGCCGGAAGGCUGAUAGUGCGACGCCGCGUGAACGAGGGAGCCCUUCGGGUGUAAAGUUCUUUUCUAUACGAGCAGUGCUAUAUAUAUGGAUAGUAUAUAUAGAGGGAUAGUAGUAUAGGAAUAAGAACGGCUAACUCCGUGCCAGCAGCCG